GAUGAACGCUGGCGGCGUGCCUAAUACAUGCAAGUCGAGCGAACAGACGAGGAGCUUGCUCCUCUGACGUUAGCGGCGGACGGGUGAGUAACACGUGGAUAACCGACCUAUAAGACUGGGAUAACUUCGGGAAACCGGAGCUAAUAUCGGAUAAUAUAUUGAACCGCAUGGUUCAAUAGUGAAAGACGGUUUUGCUGUCACUUAUAGAUGGAUCCACGCCGCAUUAGCUAGUUGGUAAGGUAACGGCUUACCAAGGCAACGAUGCGUAGCCGACCUGAGAGGGUGAUCGGCCACACUGGAACUGAGACACGGUCCAGACUCCUACGGGAGGCAGCAGUAGGGAAUCUUCCGCAAUGGGCGAAAGCCUGACGGAGCAACGCCGCGUGAGUGAUGAAGGUCUUCGGAUCGUAAAACUCUGUUAUUAGGGAAGAACAAAUGUGUAAGUAACUAUGCACGUCUUGACGGUACCUAAUCAGAAAGCCACGGCUAACUACGUG
rnacentral:rRNA from 1 species